GGCGGGGAUAGAGAAAUGGCAUCUCAGCGGUCUCAUAAGCCGAAUAAAGCAGGGUUCGAAUCCCUGCCCCCGCUACCA
rnacentral:tRNA from 1 species